CACCGCGGUUAUACGAGAGACCCAAGUUGUUAGACACCGGCGUAAAGAGUGGUUAGGGAAGUUCAUCCGACUAGAGCCGAACACCUUCAAAGCUGUUAUACGCACCCGAAGGUAAGAAGCCCAACUACGAAAGUGGCUUUAUGUUAACUGAACCCACGAAAGCUAGGGCA
rnacentral:rRNA from 1 species